rnacentral:ncRNA from 2 species
AUCUUAUCCAGAGUGGUGGAGGGACUGGCCCGAUGAAACCACAGCAACCGAUUCGCCGGAGGCGGAUGCAGGUGCUAACUCCAGCAAGGAAGAGACACCUUGGAAGAUAAGAU